rnacentral:rRNA from 1 species
UACGUAGGGCGCAAGCGUUAUCCGGAAUUAUUGGGCGUAAAGAGCUCGUAGGCGGUUUGUCGCGUCUGCUGUGAAAGCCCGGGGCUCAACCUCGGGCCUGCAGUGGGUACGGGCAGACUAGAGUGCGGUAGGGGAGAAUGGAAUUCCUGGUGUAGCGGUGGAAUGCGCAGAUAUCAGGAGGGACACCGAUGGCGAAGGCAGUUCUCUGGGCCGUUACUGACGCUGAGGAGCGAAAGCGUGGGGAGCGAACAGG